ensembl:lncRNA
GUAGUAUUGGCCAUAUAAGUUGUACCUGUGUCAGUAGCUGGGACUGUUUUAGACAGAGAAGGAUCUGUAGUAGUGGCUGUGUCUGUGGCUUUGUGUUUAUUCCUGACUUAACAUCUGUAAGGUGAUAGACUCUCGAAAGAGCAGUCUUUAGUACGUGUAAAAGAGUCAAGGCUUGUUGGAUGAGGCUGCCUUUACAUGCAGCAGAACUCCUCUGAGUCCUGGGUAAGAAGGAAACAGAAGCUGCUGUCUUACCAGUGUGUGCCAUGUAACCCAACAAUCUACGUGUGAUUUUACCUGCAGAGGUUCUUAGAGGCAGAUUAGCAAAGUACAGGGAGACGAACAUCAAAAGGAAGUUCAGUCUCAGAAAAGUUACAGACAGGAAUGUAUAGGACCAGAGUGCAGACAACUACUGACCCAAUGAAGUCACCUGGAAUUGCUUCACUGCUUACGCCAGCACCAGUUUCAAAACAUUGGCAAGCAAUGUGAUGUUCAUGGUGAUGAAUACAAACAGGCUGUUGCAAGCAUGUCUGAAGUCAUGCGAAGUUUCCAGGACCGAGACAAUAAGGGCAGCUGAGGAGGAACUUGAUACCAAGCAUACAGAGUGCCACCUCCUACCACAGCAGCCUUGCUUAGCGGAGUGUGGUAUGUCUUGGGCAGCUGGUGGUGACUGGUAGCGGCUUCAUUUCUUAAAUCUGG